rnacentral:rRNA from 1 species
AGAGUUUGAUCCUGGCUCAGGAUGAACGCUGGCUGCGUGCCUAACACAUGCAAGUCGAAGGACGUCCUUAAGAAGAUUUCUUCUGAAUGAAUCUUUUGUGACUUAUGAGGCGGACGGGUGAGAAAUGCGUGGGUAACCUGGCUUAUCCCGGGGGAUAAGGAUUAGAAAUGAAUGUGUGUACCACUUACGCGGACAUGAUCCCAUGAAACUGUGUGAGAAGGAUAGAGAGGAUAACAUGGACCCUCGUCUGAUUAUCUAGUUGGUACGGUGAACAGCCUAGCAAGGGGACCAUCAAUGGCCGGCCUCGAGAGGGUGAACGGCCACAUUGGGACUGACACACGGCCACAGCACUCCUAGCAGGGAUGCUAGCAUCUGGUGGGACUAUUAGCACUAGUGGCGGGACAACCUCUGAGUGCAGCGACGACCGCGUGAGUGAAUAAAUAUUUCUGUAUGUGAAGCUCUAUCGAGCUGGAAGAUGAUGACGGUGCCUGACUAAGAAGCCUCGGGUAACUACAUGCCAGCGGCCGCGGUAAUACGUAUGGGGCAGACGUUAUCCUGAUUUAUUGGGUGUAAAGGGAGUGUAGGCGGCCGGACAAGUCAUAAGUGAAAACACAGGGUUUAUCUAUGUGACUGCUUCAGAAACUGUAAGCCUCGAGUACUGGAGAGGCAAGAGGAAUUCUUAGUGUAGCGGUGAAAAGAGUAGAUAUUAGGAAGAACACCGGUGGUGAAGGAGGCUUGUCGGACAGAGAUUCGACGAUGAGGGCUGCAAAGCGUGGGGAGCAAACAGCAUUAGAUACUAUGGUAGUACAUCCCUGCAAACGAUGAAUAAUAGGUGUUGGCACUGGAUGCGGUUUAGGUGCCGCAGCUGAGGCAUUAAGUAUUCCUCCUGGGGAGGAGGUUGGCAAGAAGGAAACUCAUAGGAAUUGUCGGGGAGCGGCACCACCGGUGGAGCAUGUGGUUUUAUUUAGUCGCUACGCGAAGAGCCUCAUCAGCCCUUGUCAUCCUGAUGACCAUCCGGGUAACGCCGGGCUGUUCUUUGAGCAUCAGAGACAGGUGGUGCCUGGUUGUUGUUAGGUUGUGUUGUGAGAUGUUGGGUUAAGUCCCGCAACGAGCGCCACCCUUAUUUUUUGUUGCCCGUGGUUAGGCCGGGCACUCUAGGGAGACUGCCAGGGCUAACCUGGAGGAAGGCGGGGACGACGUCAAAUCAUCAUGCCCCUUACGUUCUGGGCUACACACGUGUUACAAUGGUGGCUACAAAGAGACGCCACCCUGCGAGGGGGAGCAAAUCUCAAAAAGGCCGUCCCAGUUGGGAUGGUAUGUUUGCAAUUGGCUCCCAGGAAGCGGGAAUCGUUGGUAUUCGCCAUUCAGCAUGUUGCGGUGAAUACGUUCCCGGGCCUUGCACACACCGCCGGUCA